CUUCCCGUUAGGGGGGACCUGCGGAGGGAUCAUUACCGAGUUUACAACUCCCAAACCCAAUGUGAACGUUACCAAACUGUUGCCUCGGCGGGAUCUCUGCCCCGGGUGCGUCGCAGCCCCGGACCAAGGCGCCCGCCGGAGGACCAACCAAAACUCUUAUUGUAUACCCCCUCGCGGGUUUUUUUAUAAUCUGAGCCUUCUCGGCGCCUCUCGUAGGCGUUUCGAAAAUGAAUCAAAACUUUCAACAACGGAUCUCUUGGUUCUGGCAUCGAUGAAGAACGCAGCGAAAUGCGAUAAGUAAUGUGAAUUGCAGAAUUCAGUGAAUCAUCGAAUCUUUGAACGCACAUUGCGCCCGCCAGUAUUCUGGCGGGCAUGCCUGUCCGAGCGUCAUUUCAACCCUCGAACCCCUCCGGGGGGUCGGCGUUGGGGAUCGGCCCUCCCUUAGCGGGUGGCCGUCUCCGAAAUACAGUGGCGGUCUCGCCGCAGCCUCUCCUGCGCAGUAGUUUGCACACUCGCAUCGGGAGCGCGGCGCGUCCACAGCCGUUAAACACCCAACUUCUGAAAUGUUGACCUCGGAUCAGGUAGGAAUACCCGCUGAACUUAAGCAUAUCAAUAAGGCGGAGGAA
rnacentral:rRNA from 1 species